AAAACCCUUUCCAGCUCAAGAUCCGACCCACAUGAGAGGAGGAACCAACUCCCAGCAAACGCAGCGCUGCAUUUCUAGUUUUCUACAGCCGGAAUGGAGGCAAAUGACCUAGAAAAUAUGAAGUAGACGGAUGAAGCACAGAGGGAAAAACUGUCGCCAAGGUUUACCAAGCAAACCGAUUAAAUCUCCAGGAGAUCAAGUUGUGAGCAGGACUAGGAGAGCACCAAAAAUACCUUGCCAUGGUCUAUAACAUGAUCUGAAUCAAGGGACACUGAUCAAUAACGAGGCAAAUCUCUCUUAGCUGUGAUGUCUUGCUCUUUACUUUAACCUAGGAAGACAAAUAAUGAAAGACAGACGAAGAAGACAAAAAAAAUUCACAGGCCAGUGGACAAAGCAAAACAAUCUUUUUGUUGUUUUAGAUAGACGCAUCCAGCAUAGGCCAAAUUAGAGCGUCAGGUCUAAAUUCUAUAGUACAGAUACACGUGAAUUCAAUUGGAAAGUUAAUGUUCUCUUCUCUUCGCACUCUGCAAACAUCAGUUUUUCCAUUUCUGGUUCCAUAACAAUUUCCAGAGCAUCUCAUCAUGUUGGGUUCUGCUUACAUAUUGUAAACGUUAUGGGUGUAUUGCAAUAUUAUUAGAAAAUUAAUAGUGGGAGGCAAUGGUAAGUAAUUUGAACAUAACUACAUCCCUAAAUUCAGUUCAUUAGCUAAAGAUAUAUCACUUGACAGAGUUAGACCUGCCCCCCGACCUAAUGACUAAAAGUUCAUUGCAACUCCCAACAAAUUACAACGAAGCCGAACAACCCCAACGUUUACAACAGAUUCAGUCCUCAAGAAAAGACAACGAAGUUGGGCAACAAUUAGCAAUUGAGCUUUCAACAUCAGCUGGUUAGUGCGGAAGUGAGGGAUCCAAGUCUAGCCUCUUGCACGUUGAAAACUGAGGCAAAAUGUCCGUAAUUCUGAAUAUGAGUUAAGGAGAGACAAUAAUUUCAUGUAGUUCCUCCAACACAGAUUCCAUUGUAGGCCUUUGAUUUGGAGAUUCAUGAGUGCAAAGAAGCGCUAAUCUCCCGAGUUUGGCUGCCUCUGAUUCUGAGAACUUUCUUUCAAGAUUUGCAUCAAUAAAGUCUUCGACCCUGAAUGAUUCCACUGCUUGGCGAGUCAUUGUGGUGACUAUACGUUUUCCACUGAGGAGUUGAAGUACAAUCAUGCCAAAUGCAUAGACAUCACUCUUUUCAGUAAAACGGCCAGUAGUUGUGUACUCAGGGGCCAGGUAUCCCAUGGCAGCACUAGCUUUAAGCAUGGAGAAGACAAUGUCAUCUGCCAGCAGUUUGUGCAAGCCUGAAUCUGAGAGCAACGGAUUAUAUCGUCUGUCAAUGAGCACUUUCUCAGCUGAUAUGUUCUGGUGGAAUAGAGCAGAUUUAUUUCCUUUAUGACCAUGUAAAUACCCAAUACCUUUGGCAAUGCCUUUUAUGAUAGAUAUUCUGGCGGACCAUUCAAGAAACCUCCCAUUGCCCUCAUUUAUGUCAAGAUACUGCAACAGGUUUCCAUUUGGGACAAAAUCAUAAAUGAGAAAACACUCCCCCCUUCCUUUUGAACAGCAAAAGCCUCUCAAUCUCACCAGAUUUUCAUGUUUCAAUGAGGUCAAAUUCUUCAAACCCUUCAAAAAAUCAGCUUCAUCAGAUUUACAACUCAUUUUGGUGAUGCACUUUACAGCAACAAUUGACCCAUCUCUUAGGAUUCCCUUGUAGGUGGCUGAGAAAUUACUCUUCCCCAACAAAUUCACCUCUGAGAAGCACUGAGUUGCUCGUUCUACCUCUUCUAAAUUGAACAUGAAGCUCUCAAGAAAUUCCUGAGAGAGUCCACUUUUGCUCUGGCCCACGGCCAAGGGAUCCCACCCAUUGGAAUACUCUAGGCUGAUGAGUGGAGAGGCAUUCUUCCUACAAACUUCCUUGACCUGGUCAGUACUAAGCCGACCAUCUGAAGUAUCAAAUGCACUUCCAAUUUUCUGUUUCUGGCGACGGUACCAUGUGAAUGUGAAAAGUCCAGUGACAGUUAAUACAAUAAAAACUCCAAUUACACUAAAUAUCACACCAUACUGUGGACUUUUGGAUGAAUUUGAACAGUGAAUUUGGCUGCAAUUAGAAGGUAAGUUUGCAGAUUCUGGGAUAUCCUUUUGCAAUGCACCACUAGGUUUGGAAGGCUCAGGUCUAUCUGGGUUUAGAUGAUCACAUGUUUCCAAGUUAGGAAACUCGACUCCACAUAACUUAGGGUUGUUGUCAUACUGGAAUCCACUAUUCAGUCUCUUCAAAGCUGGAGGCACAUCCCCAGAGAGGCUGUUGUUUCGAAUGUCUAGAACUUGUAGCAUAGGAGCAUUAGCUAAUUUUACUGGAAUUGAACCAAAAAGACCAUUAAAGCUCAAAUCCAGCCUUGUUAACAAUCCUAAAUCACCCAAGCUUGCAGGUAUUGCACCAGUUAACUGAUUAUAUUGUAGAGCAAGGACGUUAAGCUUCUUCAGAGAACCCAGUUGUGUUGGUAAACUCCCAGUCAACUUAUUGUAACACAGCUGCAAAACUGAAAACAAAGAGAUCCAGAUUGAGGCUCGUUUCAAAAAAUUUUCCAUUUGUCUACAGUUAUAGUCUUCAAAAUGACAAUGUUGUACAGCAGGUCUGCUAAACUAUGAACACACACAUCUAUAAAUAUAUAUUUCUUUUUAAAUGAAGCUCUCAAUAGAUCAUUCCUUUUUGGUAGUGCAAGAACACAGAUCCCAUAACGCUUAGCUCAAAAGAUUGACUCAACGUUAAGCAACAACAAUGAAGUCUAAAAUUAAAAUAUAGUAAAACAAAAGGGAGUCCAUGGACGACUGUCCAAGUAAUAAUUAGGCAUCUAUUCAACUAAUCAUUCAGGUAGACAUGGAAGAACUUUUCUUUUCUUCUUCAGCCAUUGAUGAAGGUGAAUUUGAUAAUGUUGUUGAGCGUAAAUAAUAAACCACCAAGAAUCUUGAAGAUUAGACAUGUUGCCAAUCUGAAAUGGAAUCUCCCCAGACAAAUUAUUCACAUUGAGAUACAAAUCACUUAGCUCAGUCAGCUCAGCUAUCUCUUUCGGUAUUUCUCCAAUAAGAGCAUUGAAAUGCAGAUACAAACCAGUUAAGCUCUUGAGCCCACCUACAGCCGGAGGUAUCUCGCCGGAGAGACCCUUGCCCUGAAGAGAAAUAUUAGCCACACGGCCUUGCUCAUUGCAAGCUACGCCCUCAAAAGACCCAGCACAUGGGUCAGUGUUGGGUUCCCAGGAGGUCAAGAACCGGUUAAGUGGAUCGAGGGAGGCCUUGAUUUGCAUGAGGAGUUGGAGUUCUGCAGGCGAGGAGAAAAUUGGUGAGACAAAGAGGAAGAGAGAUGAGAGAUAGAAGAGGAGAUGAUGCAUGUUUGGGUUGAAAGAAAGUGCAGGAAAGUGAAGGAAACUAUGUGGGUUUCCGAAGUUAAGAAGGCAGAAGAGAGAUGAAAAGAAAGGGAUUCUAAACUUAGUUCAUUGGCAAGCGUUCAUAGUCGAGAGAGAAGGUAGAAGUAACUGGUCACACUCACUCGUGCACUCG
rnacentral:misc_RNA from 1 species